GACGGACGCUGGCGGCGUGCUUAACACGUGCAAGUCGAACGGAAAGGCCCCAGCUUGCUGGGGUACUCGAGUGGCGAACGGGUGAGUAACACGUGGGUGAUCUGCCCUGCACUCUGGGAUAAGCCUGGGAAACUGGGUCUAAUACCGGAUAGGACCGUGCUUUAGUGUGUGCGGUGGAAAGUUUUUCGGUGCAGGAUGAGCCCGCGGCCUAUCAGCUUGUUGGUGGGGUAAUGGCCUACCAAGGCGGCGACGGGUAGCCGGCCUGAGAGGGUGUACGGCCACAUUGGGACUGAGACACGGCCCAGACUCCUACGGGAGGCAGCAGUGGGGAAUAUUGCACAAUGGGCGCAAGCCUGAUGCAGCGACGCCGCGUGGGGGAUGACGGCCUUCGGGUUGUAAACCCCUUUCGGCAGGGACGAAGCUUUUGUGACGGUACCUGCAGAAGAAGCACCGGCUAACUACGUG
rnacentral:rRNA from 1 species